GGCUCCGCUCCCGGUGCCCUGGCGGUCCCCGGGGGCCUGUGCUCGGCGCUGGGCAGCCGCGGCCGGGGUCUGCCGCAUGAGGGCUGGCGUGCCCGAGCACCGCGGAGGGCAGGCCGCCUGGCCUCCAGCACCUUCUCGCUGCUGGUUGCUGUUGCGGUCUCUUUAAUAGAGAUUGAGUCGCUGUGUCUACACGCCUACGAAAUAGGUGGGGUAAUCCUCGGGUUAUUUGCAUGAAUGUGACCAGCUGUGUAAGAAGUCACUGAGCUGCUUAGUGCAUUCCAGUGUGGGGUAUGCUGUGGGCUGUGGAGAACAUCCAAGUGACCAGUGUUACAGAAGAGGCAAAGAGGAGAAAGAAGCUUCUGAACUGUCAACUUCUUCCGGCAGCGCCGCAGAACUGUGUCUUCACAAAGCUGCACCAACAGGGAAGCUUUAGAUUCCUAUCCAACUUGAUGUUAAGGGUCAGGAAUCCUGCCUGAUCUCUCAGCAGGAUGUCAGCUGCCACCAUUUCACUGCAGUCACCCUUUGUUCCACCAGGAAAGGACAAGGGAGAGGAAUGAAUCCUUAGAGGUCUGCAAGCACAAGGCAAUGUUGAUGGUGCAUGUCUGGAUUUUUCUGAAGGUAUGUGUAGUAUGGACUUUAAGGUUGACAUCAAGACUGUGCCAACUUGCCUUCUCUAUUUUUUCUAUGAAAUAUUUUAUCACAAAUAUUAAAAAUAAGGUCUGUUGUGGAGCACGUGAUGCUAUGUGAAGCUUACUCCCCUCCGUUUAUUGUCACCUAUUUUGUGACUAGCUGAAACUGGGAUUGCAGGCCAGGAGGUAGGUACAGAAUUCUAAAAUAAAGAAUCAGAGCAUUGGAGUGAUUGUUUUAAGGGAGUGCCUUGGGAAGACAGAGGAACUGAGCUGCUCACUCCACACACUGGCAGAAGAGCCCAUCUCACCUGCCAUGAGCUGCAUGAUGACAGUGAAGUGCAACUGCAACACUCGCUGGCAGGAGCGGCAGGGGGGUGCAGAGUUCCACAACGUCAGGGAGCAGAGAUGGACACCCCAGCUGUCUAUGGUCAGCCACUGAGCAGCAUCUUGUACGCAAAAGUGCCUCUCUGUUUUUGCCACUUGGGGAGCUUGGUUGGAACAGCCCCAACUUUGUCCUGUCAUCAGAGGCAAAGGCCUGGAAUGGCUUUUGUUACGGAGGCAGCCACUGGAAGAGCCGGGGCUGCCCGUGGGAAAGGGGCAGGGAAGCAUUAGCUCUGAUCCCCCAGUCAGUAGUUGCUGUCCCCUGGAGAUGUAAACUGGGCUGGAGAGCGGCCGAUGCUUACCCCUCUGCCUCUGUGAUACCGAGAGGAUGCUGCCAUCCUGUGGCCAGAACCCGGUACUGCAGGUCUGGGUGGUGUGCUGGGCUCCUCGCUGGUGUCACGUGCUGCCAGAAUUCAGUACUGCAGCUCGGAGUCCGCGCAUGCGCGGUGGCGCUGCUAUUCGCCGGCAGGAGCAACUGGGUCCUGCGGGCCGGUGCCGCGUACUCGCUGCUGCUUCCCACUAAGGAAGCGCUGAUGGAGCUCCACGUUUGCGGUGCCGGUGGGCUCGUAGGCGAUGCCGUCCUGUGGCCGCAGUCCGGUGUUCGCGCGCUGGUUUUUGUCCCUCCGGCGCACCGUCGGUGGCCAGUGCACGCACGGUGACCGGGAGUAGGAUGGCGGCGCGCAGGGGCAGGGGCCAUGCUGAGGAUGUGGGUGUUGAUUCUGCCCCAGGGUGUUGUUUACUCUUCCCACCUCAGGCUUGCAUGGGUUGUCUCUGUCUCGCCUCGCUCUCCUCACAGUAUGGAGGCCAGGAAAGAGUGCUCACUGGCUGUGAACAAGAGCUGUCAGGGCUGAAGCUGGAGAGGCAAAAAAAAAAGGUAAACAAAUUGAAUGCCAUCAGUCCGGCAGCACUCUGUUGCUGCAGGCAAGAGAUGAUCUGUGUCUUUGCAUGCCAAAGGAUCCCUCUUUGUGGUUCAGAGUAGGCCAGAGGGCCAAAGUGUACCAAGGGGUGUGUAUAUCUUACCUACAGCAUGGUACAGCCAUGCAGAACACAUUCAAGCAAGGCUACGUGUCUAAGAAGCCUCAUCUUGCAAGAGCUGUGAGACACUUGGGUAUUCUCUCAGGUGGAAGACAGUCCAGUGACAUGAGCCAUAGAAGAGGAAGGGAGGUGACAAGGAGAAGGAAGUAUCUAUCUGAACUGUCCAAUUCUUCUGGCAGCGGCAAGAGCUAUGGCAUGUGGCAUUGUUAUGACCAUCUUGAAGGAAUACCUGGAUCUGACCUCACUGUUUCUGAUACUGGAUUUCAGAGAGACUUCAGAAUGUACCUGCAGCUGAGACAGACAUGGUUAGCAUUUAUCUGUGUUUGCCUCCUCCUCGAGGGCCCAGAACUGAGAUGAAAAACUCUGUGCCUCUUUUGUAGACCUGUUUACAAUCAGGUCACUGAAUCUUCUUGAAUGCUGACCCGAGGCUGUGGAAGGAACCGUCACGUGACGCCACGCAGAAACCAGGUACCUGAUGCUCCUCUGCCUCCCUCCAGCCCUAGCAGAACCCUGAGUAGCAGUUCACAGAGAGCAAGAGAGAAUGAACCCCAGUGGUAUUAGCUGUAGGUUUAGGGCUACAGAAUCAGCAGUGGGUGUCAGCAGAGGCAGGACCUGUGGGGGCUGUGCAACCACGCAUCCUGGCCAGGAGGACCAGGGCCAGCCUGUGGGGCUGCAGAAUGGGUGCAGGCUACAUGUACAGGGCUGGUGCCCAGCACCACCAGCUCGCUGGUACUUAAGAGUUUCUCUGGCACCUCCUCCUCCUGCGUAGGAGAUUUUAUUCUCUUUUGGUCUUCAGUGUCGAUCUGCUGGCUAAAGAAAUGGUGGCAGAACUUCCCACUGAGGUCUAGCACCUCAUCACUCAGCACUUCCUAAACGGGUAUGUUUGGUGGCUAGCAGUGGUGCUCAGCAGCUGUGCUGAAACCUAAGCUAAUCAAGGUGAAAGAUGUGAUACCUGGUAUUAGACCAUCCUGUGCAGGGCCCUCCAGCUGAGUGACAAGAAAGCCUCGCUUCUUGUACCCUGCAUUAACAGAAACGGAGGUGGUAAGAGAGAGCUCUAGGCCCUGAAGGGCUCAGUGGUGGGCUAUAUAAUUGGUGUUGAUGAUCAGCGUGCAACACAGCUGGUGGGGAAUUGUCUCACUGCCUGUUCACUCUUAGUACCUGUUCAGCUGAAACACUUCAUUGCAGUGAUGCUAGUGGCAGUUGGCUGCUCAUAAAACAAGAGGAUGGGUGUUCUCCUGGCUUUGUGAGCUGUGAGAGGAAAGCAGCUGCUGGCUAGAGCUGGAUGGUGAGAGCAUGGUGUGGUAAGUGAAGGAGAGCAGGAUGCAGACAGGUCCCAGGUGUCCCUGUCUCAGGAGGCACUCAGUGGCAUCGGGCAGAGGAAGUGCUGCAGCACAGAUGGCCAGGAAGGCCGUGUGAAGGAGAGGACCCGAGUGUGACCAACCAGCCCGUUCUGUAUCCAGCGAGUGGUCCAUCUGUCAGAUCCAUGCCUCUCCAGUCUAGCUGUUGUGUGGGACAGUGUGAGGUACAAUGUGUGUGGGACAAGUGCGGGUGGGUGACAUCAGUUGCUCUUUCCGUACCCAGCUAUGCUGUAGCCAUUGUUAUUGGUGUGAUCAGGGAGUAAGGUGGGAGCUACAUCCAAUGUCUCUGCACCACACACCAAUCAGCCCCUCAGAUGUCAUCUGGCAGUUGUGAGGUGCUGUGGUGGAGGAGGGCAGGAAGCGUAUUUAUGUGAAACACUGCAGCAGCUGUUUGGGUUGCAGCAGGGAAGAGGGAUGGGAGGGUCACUGUUGGUGUUUGAGGCCAGAAGAGACAUGGGAGGAGAGCCCCAAAGAAAAGCUGUGGGAGCUGCUUGCCUGUGGUAGGUGCAACUGUGUUUCCCGAACAGAGGCUGAUGCUGUGAGUUACUUCUGACUGACAGCCCAAGGCCAUCAUCCUGCCUUGCUCACAGAGUGGUGAGGUUGGAAGGGACUUCCUGAUGUUUACUCCAAGCCCUUGCUCAGCCUCUGGUGCCUUGUCCACUCUGAACAUCUCCAAGGAGAUCUCUACAGGUUCUCUGGGCAGCCUGUUCCAGUGACCACCUUGAGAGUAAACCUUUUCUCUUAAUGUUUAAAUGGA